UACAGAGGGGGCAAGCGUUAUUCGGAAUCAUUGGGCGUAAAGGGCGCGUAGGCGGCCGAGCAAGUCUUGGGUGAAAUCCCUCGGCUUAACCGAGGAACUGCCUUGGAAACUGCUUGGCUUGAGGCCGGGAGAGGGUGGUGGAAUUCCCAGUGUAGCGGUGAAAUGCGUAGAUACUGGGAGGAACACCAGUGGCGAAGGCGGCCACCUGGACCGGUCCUGACGCUGAGGCGCGAAAGCGUGGGGAGCAAACAGG
rnacentral:rRNA from 2 species